rnacentral:rRNA from 1 species
AGAGUUUGAUCGUGGCUCAGGGUGAACGCUGGCGGUGUGCCUAAGACAUGCAAGUCGAACGGUGUGCGUAGGUAGCACUAAGAUCAUAAAAUUUUUUGUGAUUUUGGUGCUAUCUACUUACGCAGUGGCAAACGGGUGAGUAUAAAAUAGGAACGUACUUCGAAGCGGGGCAUAGCCCCUCGAAAGAGGGGGUAAUUUCCCAUACGCCUACGGGUGAAAGACGCAAGUCACUACGAAAACGGCCUAUUUACUACCAGCUAGUUGGUAAGGUAACGGCUUACCAAGGCUAUGACGGUUACCGGCUCUUAGCGGAGAGUCCGGCACAAUGGGACUGAGACACGGCCCAUACACCUACGGGUGGCAGCAGUUAGGAAUUUUGCGCAAUGGACGAAAGUCUGACGCAGCGACACCGCGUGGAGGAUGAAGACCCUAGGGUUGUAAACUCCUUUUUAGCGGCCAUGAAGGCCACUAGAAUAAGUAGCUACUAACUACGUGCCAGCAGUCGCGGUAAUACGUAGGCUACGAGCGUUACUCGGAUUUAUUGGGCGUAAAGGGUCUGUAGACGGUUUUUUAAGUCUUGUUUCAAAGACUCCGACUCAAUCGGAGAAAGGGGCAAGAUACUAAAAGACUAGAGUGGUAUCGGGGUUACUGGAAUUUUUAGUGUAGGGGUUAAAUCCGUGGAUACUAAAAAGAACACCAAGCGCGAAGGCGGGUAACUAGGUACAUACUGACGUUCAGAGACGAAAGCUAGGGUAGCAAAUCAGAUUAGAGACCUGAGUAGUCCUAGCCGUAAACAUUGUCCGUUAGUUCUUCUUUAAUUUAUUAGGGAGGGAUGUUAGCAAACGCGUUAAACGGAUCGCCUGGGGAGUAUAGCCGCAAGGCCGAAACUCAAACGAAUUGGCGGGGAGGCGCACAACCAGUGGAGCAUGUGGUUCAAUUCGAUACAAAGCGAUGAACCUUACCUGGGUUUGAAAUGUACCUGCAAAUCCCGAGAAAUCGGGACAUCCUUUGAGGGUGGUACACAGCUGUUGCAUGGCUGUCGUCAGCUCGUGACGUGAGUUGUUCUCUUAAGUGAGGUAACGAGCGCAACCCCCGUUCUGUGUUAUUGUGUCACAGAAGACUGCCUAGCAUUAUUUUGUUAGGAGGAAGGAGGGGACGACGUCAAGUCAUCAUGAUGCUUAUAUCCAGGGCUACACACAUCCUACAAUGGGCUAUAACAGAGGGUUGCAAGACCGCAAGGUGGAGCUAAUCCCUAAACUAGCCCUCAGUUGGGAUUGCAGGCUGAAACUCGCCUGCAUGAACCCGGAAUUGGUAGUAAUCGCAAAUCAGCAGAUUGCGGUGAAUACGUUCUCGCCUCUUGCACACACUGCCCGUCAAAUCAGCAAAGUUGAGGGUACCCAAAGGCCCCGCAGCUGCGGGGACUAAGGUAAAUUCAGCGAUGAGGGUUAAGUCGUAACAAGGUAUCCGUACUGGAAGGUGCGGAUG